rnacentral:rRNA from 1 species
UACGAAGGAUCCAAGCGUUGUCCGGAUUUACUGGGUUUAAAGGGUGCGUAGGCGGCCUAUUAAGUCAGUGCUGAAAUAUCCCGGCUUAACCGGGAGGGUGGCAUUGAUACUGAUGGGCUUGAGUAGAGUUGAGGUUGGCGGAAUUGACGGUGUAGCGGUGAAAUGCUUAGAUAUCGUCAAGAACACCUAUUGCGAAGGCAGCUAACUAAGCUCAAACUGACGCUGAGGCACGAAAGUGUGGGGAUCAAACAGG